CCUACGGGUGGCAGCAGUGAGGAAUAUUGGUCAAUGGGCGCGAGCCUGAACCAGCCAAGUAGCGUGAAGGAUGACUGCCCUACGGGUUGUAAACUUCUUUUAUAAAGGAAUAAAGUGAGGCACGUGUGCCUUUUUGUAUUUACUUUAUGAAUAAGGAUAGGCUAACUCAGUGCCAGCAGCCGCGGUAAUACGGAGGAUCCGAGCGUUAUCCGGAUUUAUUGGGUUUAAAGGGAGCGUAGAUGGGUUGUUAAGUCAGUUGUGAAAGUCUGCGGCUCAACCGGAAAAUUGCAAUUGAUACUGGCAGUCUUGAGUAUAGUUGAGGGAGGCGGAAUUCGUGGUGUAGCGGUGAAAUGCGUAGAUAUCACGAAGAACUCCGAUUGCGAAGGCAGCCUACUAAACUGCCACUGACAUUGAUGCUCGAAAGUGUGGGUAUCAAACAGGAUUAGAUACCCCAGUAGUC
rnacentral:rRNA from 1 species